AAAAAUGGUCAAAAAAGUGAUUACGUAAUAUGUGAACGGCCCCUAAGGAAAUUCGCUACUUUUUGACAUUGUUAAACUCAUACUUUGAGAACCAAAUCAUUAAACAUAAAACGCUGCACCACUUUGUUAGGUAUUUGCCCAAGAAACAAUUGUGCCAAGCCCUGCGCUUGCCUUGGUUUAGCCCAAUACUGAGAAACCUAAAAAGUUUUUGAGUGCAAUGUAAUUACAGGUAAACAUCAAACCUUGGCACACAAUAUCUUCGGAACGGAAGGUGGGAUUUGCAUAAUUUUUCACUUACUUGUUUAGCAUCCAGAGCUCUAUAAAAUAUAUAAAAACUGAAGAAAAAAAAGUUUUUACCCCACCCCUCCUCCCUCUGGCCUUAAAUAAGGAAACUUACUGAUUUGGACACCGGUCAGGGUUCAUAAGAGAAAUAAAGUAGGCACCCAAACUAGAUAUUAGUAAAUUAUUUUUGGAAAAUCAUCUCGAAGUGUUCAUUGGUGGUCUGUACAACAAUAUUAAUCGGAUAAUGCCGGAACGAUUGGGUAAGAACGUAUGUUUGAUCAUGGUGAGUUCUCAAUCGUGUCAAAGCGUAACACACCUUGUACAGGGGGGUUUUUAAUAUUGGUUCCCUUCUAUAUGGGCAUGCAUAUUGCACAAAUAACAUACGCUGUGUUACCAUCUGUCCCAGGUAGUUGCACUACCUGGGACAGAUGGUAACACAGCGUAUGUUAUUUGUGCAAUAUGCAUGCCCAUAUAAGGAGGGAACCAAUAUUAAAAACCACCCGGUAUAUAACUUGAUAAAGCGGAAAUCCCGCGAAAUAUCGUUCGAAAUAAAUAUUCGUUUACUUUGUUACGCUUUGACACGAUUGAGAACUCACCAUGAUCAAACAUAUGUACAACAACAAACAAAAAACUUUCGAAUUUUCUUUAAAUUUUGUUCUCGAGCGUCAGUGCAGCGAAUAAUUUUGAGAAUUUCCUUCUAAAACGGUUUCAAGCCAAUUUUCCGUGAUAUUGGGCUGAUUUCUGCCUCAGUUUCUCCCGGGGGACUUACUGAUUUUUGUAUCCGAAAGACUCGCACCCACCCUGUGUCAUACAGUAAGUCACUGAUCCCCGGCCCCCGUUAAAAGGUGCAAUUAUUUUGUACUAGUAUUAAAUCAUUUUGACUGCACGAUUCUAUGUUGUUUUUUAAAAGGAGCUUCAAAGUCAUGGUUAUCUAGAUAUAUCUAGAUAUACCAUAUAAACGUUGGAAGUUUUAAACAUAAUAUUAAUAGUGAAUUGUAAUCUAAUCCUUUUUCGGCUUGGAAAUAUCCUGUACGAAUCUUGCAUAUGUUGAUUUUUAUGAGUUUUGCCACAUUAAAAGCCACAUUUUUUAAUACGGCACAACCACUGUUUAGCCGUGAUUUUUAAACAAAUUUAAGUAUUUAGUAUUUAACAGAUGUAUGUGUUAACAUAAGAAAUGACAUGAAUCCUGAAUAUGUUUGUUGCCGUAUAUUUUGCCACAGUAAAAGCCGCAAUUAUUUUACAAAACCACAUUUUAGUCUUGAUUUUUACAUAUUGAAGUAUUUAGUAUUUAACAGUUGCAUGUGUUAACAUUAGAAAUGGCAUGAAUCCUGAAUAUGUUACCUGUCGUGUAUUAUGCCACAUUAAAUUUAAGUUAAAAGCAGCAAUUAUUUUACAAAAACACAUUUUAUUCGUGAUUUUACAUAGGUAUAUUGAAGUAGUUAGUAUAACAGUUGCAUAAAAAUGGGAUGAAAUUUGAAAAUCACAUACUACAGUAUCUUCGAAUUAAGUAAUUAAAGGUCUUUCACAUUCAUUUGUAGGAAGAUGGUGCUUAGAAACGUGCCAACGGAACAGGGCCGAUUACUGGUUACAGCACUGUACUCAGUACUGUCUACAUGUCGACACCUGCAUCAAUACAGAAGAUUUCUUAUGGAAGAAGGAGCUGUAGUUUGGGCUGGGAAGAACUCGGACUGCGGCUUGUGCUAGGAGAGGAGCUUGGGCUGGGGCUGGAAAGAGCUCGGGCUGGGAGGAGCUGGGCUCGGCUCGGGCAGGGGCUGAAUUUGGGGCCUGGCCUGGCACUCGGGCUGGCAUUCGGGCUGGCGCUCGGGCCUCGGACUAGGUGGUGGAGCUACGACAGGAAAAGGUACUAAGAUAUCCGAAUGUUGCGAUUGACGAUUUAUACUGCCAAGAUAUCCACAAUUCCGUACAACUCUCUACAGCGAUGUUUUAUAGUCUGUAAACUACGACAGCUGAUCCCGAUACUUUUGACACAAUAUUUGAUUAUUCUAGUCGAGUGAGAACAAACUAAAUCAGUCAAGAUGAACUCAGAACUUGCAAGUAACAUUCUAGACUCAGGAAGAAGCGUUUUAGUAACUAAGAAAUGGUGUAUAUUUAACUGUUUAUAUUAGUUUAAUACAUAUUCAGUUCUUGCAAGCAUCGCCCUGUCGGAGAUAAACAUAAUCUUGUUGCGGUACUCGAGACAGAAACUUUGUUCAUGAAUUUUGGGCGAUUCGCCUUCAUCAGAUAAUUAGCGGAAAUUUGUUUUGUAAAGGUUUAAACUUUACAAAUCUACUUCAUCAACACAAAUUUGCGCUAGUUAUCUGAUAAAGGCGGAUCGCCGAAAAUUCUUGAAUCCAGAAAGUUUUUUCGUCUUAAAAAGUUUCGAGUACAGUCACUUUCGGAUUAUAUCCCGUUUUGGGAGGAAACGGAUAUUAGUUAUCAACGGGAUAAAACCCGAAAGGGGAUAUAAUCAGAAUCAAAAUGCUAGUACUUUAUUGUGUCAGGUAGGAAACUGAUAUGCCAAUAAAGUGGGAUAUAAUCCGAAAGUGACUGUAGUACCACAACAAUAUUAUACAUAUGAUUAUAGUAUUAAGGAUUUGUAAAUAAAUUUGUUGAAUAAUUAAACGAUUCUAGAAUUCAGAUGUUAAUCUACAAACUAAAAUGAUCUGAAA